UGGAGAAUCUCUGAGCACCAUGGAGCCAGC
rnacentral:piRNA from 1 species